CCUACGGGGGGCUGCAGUGGGGAAUAUUGGACAAUGGGGGGAACCCUGAUCCAGCGACGCCGCGUGAGUGAAGAAGUAUUUCGGUAUGUAAAGCUCUAUCAGCAGGGAAGAAAAUGACGGUACCUGACUAAGAAGCACCGGCUAACUACGUGCCAGCAGCCGCGGUAAUCCGUAGGGGCAAGCGUUAUCCGGAUUUACUGGGUGUAAAGGGGGCGUAGACGGUGCAGCAAGUCUGAUGUGAAAGGUCGGGGCCCAACCCCGGGACUGCAUAGGACACUGUUGAACUGGAGUACAGGAGAGGUAAGCGGAAUUCCUAGUGUAGCGGUGAAAUGCGUAGAUAUUAGGAGGAACACCAGUGGCGAAGGCGGCUUACUGGACUGUAACUGACGUUGAGGCUCGAAAGCGUGGGGAGCAAACAGGAUUAGAUACCCGAGUAGUC
rnacentral:rRNA from 1 species